CACGUAGGGUGCGAGCGUUGUCCGGAAUUAUUGGGCGUAAAGAGCUCGUAGGCGGUGUGUCGCGUCGGCCGUGAAACCUGCAGCUUAACUGUGGGCUUGCGGUCGAUACGGGCAUCACUGGAGUUCGGCAGGGGAGACUGGAAUUCCUGGUGUAGCGGUGAAAUGCGCAGAGUAUCAGGAGGGAACACCGGUGGCCGAAGGCGGGUCUCUGGGCCGGAUGACUGACG
rnacentral:rRNA from 1 species